GAUCAUGGCUCAGGAUGAACGCUGGCGGCGUGCUUAACACAUGCAAGUCGAACGGGAAACAUUUUAUUGAAGCUUCGGCAGAUUUAGCUUGUUUCUAGUGGCGGACGGGUGAGUAACGCGUGGGUAACCUGCCUUAUACCGGGGGAUAACAGCCGGAAAUGACUGCUAAUACCGCAUAAGCGCACAGAACCGCAUGGUUCGGUGUGAAAAACUCCGGUGGUAUAAGAUGGACCCGCGUUGGAUUAGCUAGUUGG
rnacentral:rRNA from 1 species